UACGUAGGGUGCGAGCGUUAAUCGGAAUUACUGGGCGUAAAGCGUGCGCAGGCGGUUUUGUAAGUCUGACGUGAAAUCCCCGGGCUCAACCUGGGAACUGCAUUUGUGACUGCACGGCUGGAGUGCGGCAGAGGGGGAUGGAAUUCCGCGUGUAGCAGUGAAAUGCGUAGAUAUGCGGAGGAACACCGAUGGCGAAGGCAAUCCCCUGGGCCUGCACUGACGCUCAUGCACGAAAGCGUGGGGAGCAAACAGG
rnacentral:rRNA from 1 species